AGAGUUUGAUCCUGGCUCAGAUUGAACGCUGGCGGAACGCUUUACACAUGCAAGUCGAACGGUAACGCGGAGAGAAGCUUGCUUCUCUCCGGCGACGAGUGGCGAACGGGUGAGUAAUACAUCGGAACGUGUCCGCUCGUGGGGGACAACCAGCCGAAAGGUUGGCUAAUACCGCAUGAGUUCUACGGAAGAAAGAGGGGGACCCGCAAGGGCCUCUCGCGAGCGGAGCGGCCGAUGACUGAUUAGCCGGUUGGUGAGGUAACGGCUCACCAAAGCAACGAUCAGUAGCUGGUCUGAGAGGACGACCAGCCACACUGGGACUGAGACACGGCCCAGACUCCUACGGGAGGCAGCAGUGGGGAAUUUUGGACAAUGGGCGCAAGCCUGAUCCAGCUAUUCCGCGUGUGGGAUGAAGGCCCUCGGGUUGUAAACCACUUUUGUAGAGAACGAAAAGACACCUUCGAAAAAAGGGUGUUGCUGACGGUACUCUAAGAAUAAGCACCGGCUAACUACGUGCCAGCAGCCGCGGUAAUACGUAGGGUGCGAGCGUUAAUCGGAAUUACUGGGCGUAAAGGGUGCGCAGGCGGUUGAGUAAGACAGAUGUGAAAUCCCCGAGCUUAACUCGGGAAUGGCAUAUGUGACUGCUCGACUAGAGUGUGUCAGAGGGAGGUGGAAUUCCACGUGUAGCAGUGAAAUGCGUAGAUAUGUGGAAGAACACCGAUGGCGAAGGCAGCCUCCUGGGACAUAACUGACGCUCAGGCACGAAAGCGUGGGGAGCAAACAGGAUUAGAUACCCUGGUAGUCCACGCCCUAAACGAUGUUAACUAGUUGUUGGGAAGUAAAAUUCUCAGUAACGCAGCCAACGCGAGAAGUUAACCGCCUGGGAAGUACGGUCGCAAGACUAAAACUCAAAGGAAUUGACGGGGACCCGCACAAGCGGUGGAUGAUGUGGAUUAAUUCGAUGCAACGCGAAAAACCUUACCUACCCUUGACAUGUCAGGAAGCUCUUGUAAUGAGAGCGUGCCCGCAAGGGAGCCUGAACACAGG
rnacentral:rRNA from 1 species